AGUUGGUCCAAGAGUUGUGGUUUAUUGUUAAACUGUUUAAUGUCUCCCAUCCAGAACUGCACUUGACUGAAUUGAG
ensembl:misc_RNA Y_RNA Y RNA